rnacentral:rRNA from 1 species
GACGAACGCUGGCGGCGUGCUUAACACAUGCAAGUCGAACGGAAAGGCCCUGCUUUUGUGGGGUGCUCGAGUGGCGAACGGGUGAGUAACACGUGAGUAACCUGCCCUUGACUUUGGGAUAACUUCAGGAAACUGGGGCUAAUACCGCAUAGGAUCUCCUGCUGCAUGGUGGGGGUUGGAAAGUUUCGGCGGUUGGGGCUGGACUCGCUGCUUAUCCGCUUGUUGGUGGGGUAGUGGCUUACCAAGGCUUUGACGGGUAGCCGGCCUGAGAGGGUGACCGGCCACAUUGGGACUGAGAUACGGCCCAGACUCCUACGGGAGGCAGCAGUGGGGAAUAUUGCACAAUGGGCGGAAGCCUGAUGCAGCAACGCCGCGUGCGGGAUGACGGCCUUCGGGUUGUAAACCGCUUUCGAAUGUGACGAAGAGUGAGUGACGGUAAUGGGUAAAGAAGCACCGGCUAACUACGUG